UCUCUUUUCUGGCAAAACACAGAAUGACAUUUAGACAAUCCCACUUCCGUCCCUGAGAUGGCUUGUGCAAGAAAAAGGGGCUGUUUUCUUGCUCUUGACCUUCCUCCCCAUUGAAGUGACUGCAGCCAGGUGUACAGGUCAGGAGAAUGCUAGGUUAGAAAUGCCAGCACUGCAGACCCUGCAGAAGGAAUCUCCAGCUGAGGGAAGAGCCGCUUCUGAUGGGUCCGAGCAUCCCGCGUUGACCUGUGUGUCAUCAGGCAGGCAUCGUGCCUAGUUCUGUUUCCUAACACUGCCAGUGGGUGGCAGGUAGGGGAGGUGAAUGAGAUGAAAUAGGCUUUUAUUUGGGUCAACUCCAGGACAAUUAAUUAAGGGCAAGUGAGGCACUGGAGGAUGGUUUCAGAAAGAAAAAGCCUGCUAGGAUCACUGUCUUCUCUGAUUUCAAUUUAUCAAAAGAACUAUAAAAUCCUUAAGAUUUUGAGCUCUCCAGAUGAUUCUAUCAGGCAGCCAGAGCUGAGAACCACUGGUCGACAUCUACCAUUGUAUUUAUUAAUAAAACUUUUAAAGAUAGAACAGCAAGCAAGUCCAUAUGUUUUUGAAUGUAUUCAAAUAGGUAAUUUCUGGAAGCUCACUCCCAGUCCUGAAACCAGUGUGCUAGAGAAGCAGCCAUCCCUGGCUGGGUACAGGGCACCCACCACCUCUCUCCUUCCCGCGAAUAUGUUCUUAAGAUGACUUUGCUGCAAGUGAACUCAGAGCGCAAGGGAAGGAAAGAUGCCUCAGAAGAACACCACCAAGCCAGAGGGGUGUGGAGGAACACAAGGCAUUUGCUCCUGGAAUGGUACACCAAUUAUUAUGGGAUGAUUCUGACCUACAGGGGCUUCCCUGGUGGCUCAACCAGUAAAAAAUCCACCUGCAAUGUGGGAGACCUGGGUUCAAUCCCUGGGUUGGGAAGAUCCCCUGGAGAAGGGAACAGCAACUCACUCCAGUACUCUGACCUGGAGAAUUCCGUGGACUGUAUAGUCCAUGGAGUCGCAAAGAGUCAGACACAACUGAGCUACUUUCACUUCACUUCACUUCUGACCUACAAACUUUAUACAACCCCAUCCUAGACCUUAGUGAAGUUCAAGAUGGAUGAGCAACUGAACAACAAAGGAGAAGGCAGCAACCAAGGCUGGGACUCACCAAUGGGCCAAGGUCACUGAAAGAAGGUGCAAACCAGCAAGAACGCAGUCUUUGAAAAUGGAAAGUGUCUGAUUCUGUGACCCCAUGGACUCUAGCCUGCCAAGCUCCUCUGUCCACGGGAUUCUCCAGGCUAGAACACUGGAGUGGAUUUCCAUGCCCUCCUCCAGGGGAUCUUCCCUACUCAGAGAUGGAACCCAAGUCUGUGUUUCCUGCAUUGCAGGCAGAUUCCUUACCCUUGGAGCCAUUGGGGAAGCCCUUGAAAAUGGAAGGAAAGUUAAAAGCCUGGCAUGGCAAGCCAGGACUGAGCCAGCCCCAUCCAGGGUGAGGAGGUUGUUUACCCAGGGACCGGCCCCAGCAGCACCAUCUGUUGGUGAGCUCCCUUCCUUAAGGACAUUUCACGUGGGAUCAGUCAGGUGUUGUUUUAAAAACAAAGAAAGAAAAAAGCUGUUCAAGGACAUUUCCUGUGCAGGCGUGGUCACGUGAGGCAGCCGCAGGGGACUGAUGGGGGCGGGAGCCCAGGGCCCUCCCUGAGGCUACAGAGCUGGGAACUCAGGGACUCUGUCCUCAGCCAGGACUCUGUUGGGGCAGGAAUUGGGUGGGUCAAGUCAAGGGAAGCCUUGGGAAACUGGGCUCAGUGAAAGUUUCUGGAUUAUCUUUCUACCAUACCCUACAGUAUUCUUCUCCAUACCUGUUUUUAAAAUAUACAAAUAUCUACACACAGAAUAUACACGCAUGCAUAGCAUGUGUCUGAAGAUUUCACUCGUUUCGGGUGAGUGGGGCUGGACUGGGACGGUUGGUCCCUUCAAAGAUCUUUCUGAAAUACAGCAUAUUUCCUCUCAAUUUUAUCCAAAGACUCAAUUUUACCCAAAGAAGCAAUAAGCCUUAACAUGGAAGAAGCUUAAUUUUGCUAACAUCCAGGGAUAAUAAUAAUAACUCUAUUUAUAUUAGAAUCACUUUCAGUGUUCAUAUAACUUUAGAGUUCAGGCCAUCUUCAUGAUCUCCUCCUGCUCCCA